ACUCGGAAAACUCUCAGGAAUGCCGAUUCCAGCUCCUGGCGGGGCAGGGACGCGGCUCCUGCUGCAGGAGGGAAUGGCCAUGGGCGAUCUAAAUCAGCACCCCAGUCACCCGCAGCUGUGCGAGCAAUUAUUUUGAUUUUUAAUUAGUUCAAAGUCAUCAAGUUCCGGCGCAGAAGGACCCCAGAACGGACUCCAGAACUGACCCCGCUCUCCGCUCUGUGCUCCUUACGCCGCGAGAGGAGCUGAAUGGGAUUUUCCAGCUGUAAAUGUAUUGAAUUCAAACCCCUGUGAUGUUUCAGUACAAAAGAGUUGUUAAAAAUGUUACAUGUGGGGGUUUUCUGCUCUGAAGCUGGGAAAAGUGGAAGAAGGAAGUGAACUCCUGGGAUGAGGAAGAAGAAGCGAAGGGUGAAUCCCCUUUUGAGAUCACUGCCCUGGCGGUGAUACCAUCCCAAUAAACAAGAAUUGCCCAACGUGCCGGGAUUCCUCCGCCCCUGGAGUGACAAAUCCAGGGAAGUUUGGGAAGGGCCGCGUGCCCCAAGUGUGGCUCAGACCCCGCAGAAGGGUAUAAAAGUCCUUGGAAAACGGAACCCUUCACUCUCCUGCACUCCUUCUUGGUGCUGACCUGAGGUCACCUCCAGCCCCUGCGAUGUCCUCCCAGCAGCUCUGCGAGGUGUCCUGUCCCCAGCCCCUGGCCAGCGCCUGGAGCCAGCCCUGCGUCACCUCCUGCGGGGACUCGCGGGCCGUGGUCUACCCUCCGCCCGUGGUCAUCACCUUCCCGGGGCCCAUCCUCAGCUCCUGCCCCCAGGAGAGCGUCGUGGGAUCCGCAUUCCCAUCGGGAAUGGGAAGUUCCUUUGGCUCCUGCGAGCCUGGAGCCUCUUUUGGUGGCCAGAAUUCCUCCUCCUGCUAUUCUCGCUAUUCCUACCCUUGCUAUUCCCGGUACUCCCGGUAUUACCGUGGGAGCUGCUGAGCCCUGCGGGGAUUCCCUGGGAAUGCAGACCCAGGGAAACCCAGACCCAGGAAAAUCCAGAUCCACGAGGGAGCAGAGGCUGUGAGAGGAGCAGGAUCCCGGUGGGCAGCAGCAGAUCCUGGGAAUGUGGAUCCUGGAGCAGGCGCUGCUCCCAUGAAAUUCUGGUCCUGUUUCAAUUAAAGAUGAUGUUGCACUGCAAA